rnacentral:rRNA from 1 species
GAUGAACGCUGGCGGCGUGCUUAACACAUGCAAGUCGAACGGAGUGCUCAUGACGGAGUUUUCGGACAACGGAUUGGGUUACUUAGUGGCGGACGGGUGAGUAACGCGUGAGGAACCUGCCUCGGAGUGGGGAAUAACACACCGAAAGGUGUGCUAAUACCGCAUAAUAUAUAUUUACCGCAUGGUAGAUAUAUCAAAACUCCGGUGCCUUAAGAUGGGCUCGCGUCCAAUUAGCUAGUUGGAGGGGUAACGGCCCACCAAGGCGACGAUUGGUAGCCGGACUGAGAGGUUGAACGGCCACAUUGGGACUGAGACACGGCCCAG